rnacentral:rRNA from 1 species
UGGGGAAUAUUGCACAAUGGGCGCAGGCCUGAUGCAGCCAUGCCGCGUGUGUGAAGAAGGCCUUCGGGUUGUAAAGCACUUUCAGCGGGGAGGAAGGCGACACGGUUAAUAACCGUGUUGAUUGACGUUACCCGCAGAAGAAGCACCGGCUAACUCCGUGCCAGCAGCCGCGGUAAUACGGAGGGUGCAAGCGUUAAUCGGAAUUACUGGGCGUAAAGCGCACGCAGGCGGUCUGUCAAGUCAGAUGUGAAAUCCCCGGGCUCAACCUGGGAACUGCAUUUGAAACUGGCAGGCUUGAGUCUUGUAGAGGGGGGUAGAAUUCCAGGUGUAGCGGUGAAAUGCGUAGAGAUCUGGAGGAAUACCGGUGGCGAAGGCGGCCCCCUGGACAAAGACUGACGCUCAGGUGCGAAAGCGUGGGGAGCAAACA